AUUGAACGCUGGCGGCAGGCCUAACACAUGCAAGUCGAACGCGUCGGGGACGGGUGAGUAAUGUCUGGGACACUGCCUGAUGGAGGGGGAUAACUACUGGAAACGGUAGCUAAUACCGCAUACCAUCAUAUGUGCCGAGAUGGGAUUAGCUUGGUGGUGGGGUAAGGGCUCACCAAGGCGACGAUCCCUAGCUGGUCUGAGAGGAUGACCAGCCACACUGGAACUGAGCCACGGUCCAGACUCAUACGGGAGGCAGCAGUGGGGAAUAUUGCACAAUGGGCGCAAGCCUGAUGCAGCCAUGCCGCGUGUAUGAAGAAGUCCUGAGGGUUGUAAAGUACUUUCAGCGGGGAGGCGUUACCGGAAGAAGAAGCACCGGCUAACUCCGUGCCAGCAGCCGCGGUAAUAC
rnacentral:rRNA from 1 species